GGCUGUUCUGAAGGCAGUGCAUUAUCUCGAUUGUUCCCAGGUCAAUUACAGAUCAAAAACUUUGUUCUACAUUUCCUCCCAUUCUCACUACUGCACUUGACUAGUCUUAA
ensembl:misc_RNA Y_RNA Y RNA